GGAAUAAAAGUCGUAACAAGGUUUCCGUAGGUGAACCUGCGGAAGGAUCAUUAAAGUUAUAGUCCCCCGGCCCUCUGGGCUGGGGUCUUCUAUACCACCCUUUGUUUAUUACACCUUUGUUGCUUUGGCAGGCCUGCCCUCGGGCUGCUGGCUCCGGCCGGCUCACGUCUGCCAGAGGACCUAAACUCUGUUUGUAUAUGAAGUCUGAGUACUAUAUAAUAGUUAAAACUUUCAACAACGGAUCUCUUGGUUCUG
rnacentral:misc_RNA from 1 species